UGAAACACUUUGACAACAACAAUAACAACAGCACAACACCACAUGUCCACAUCUUCCCAUUCCCUCUCUUUUCGUCUUCUCUAAGAUUUUUUUUCUUCCCCCGCGAAGCUCCCUUCUUUUGUUCGUUUGCUCUACACUUCACAUCUUACUCCUCUUCUUUCUUAGCCACAUUCUCUCUCUUUCCUUUGCCAUUCAUUAGACACCCCCCCN
rnacentral:lncRNA from 1 species